UACGAAGGGGGCUAGCGUUGCUCGGAAUCACUGGGCGUAAAGGGUGCGUAGGCGGGUCUUUAAGUCAGGGGUGAAAUCCUGGAGCUCAACUCCAGAACUGCCUUUGAUACUGAAGAUCUUGAGUUCGGGAGAGGUGAGUGGAACUGCGAGUGUAGAGGUGAAAUUCGUAGAUAUUCGCAAGAACACCAGUGGCGAAGGCGGCUCACUGGCCCGAUACUGACGCUGAGGCACGAAAAGCUAGGGGAGCAAACAGG
rnacentral:rRNA from 1 species